GUCAUUUAAACCUUAAUAAAGCUGAAAAUAUAAAAUAAAAAUAAUUUUAAAAACUCUAUCACAUGAUUUUCCAACCAUUCUCCCUUCCAAUUCUAAUUUCCAGUGCCUUGAUAUGGGUUUACAUAAAUCUCUGUUCUUCCUUUAAAACAUACUGUGGGCCAGGCAUGGUGGCUCAUGCCUGUAAUGCCGGGACUCUGGGAGGCCAAGGUGGGCGGAUCACGAGGUCAGGAGUUAAAGACCAGCCUGACCAACAUGGUUAACCCAUCUCUACUAAAAAUACAAAAAUUAGCCAGGCGCAGUGGCUUGCACCUAUAAUUCCAGCUACUCAGGAGGCUGAGGCAGGAGAAUCCUUGAACCUGGGAGGCGGAGGUUGCAGUGAGCCGAGAUCAUGCCAUUGCACUCCAGCCUGGGCAACAAAGCAAAAGAUUCCGUCUCAAAAAAAAAAAAAACACAUAUUGUGUAUAUUUAUUUCUUUAUUUAAGUAAAUUACUAUAAUUUAAUUUAAAGUGUCUGUCUUGGCUGGGCAAGGUGGCUCACACCUGUAAUCCCAGCACUUUGGGAGGCCGAGGUGGGUGGAUCACGAGGUCAGGUGUUCAAGACCAGCCUGGCCAACAUAGUGAAACCCCGUCUCUACUAAAAAUACAAAAAAUUAGCUGGGCAUGGUGGCAGUUGCCUGUAAUCCCAGCUCAAUACCUCUCCUUCAAUAAUUGAUAGAACUAGACAGAAAAUCGGCAAGGUGAUAGAUGAAUUCAACACCAUCAA
rnacentral:lncRNA from 1 species